rnacentral:rRNA from 1 species
AGUUUGAUCAUGGUUCAGGACGAACGCGGGUGGCGCCCCUGAUACAUGCAAGUAGAACGCUUCUUUUUCCACCGGAGCUUGCUCCACCGGAAAAAGAGGAGUGGCGAACGGGUGAGUAACACGUGGGUAACUGCCCAUCAGAAGGGGAUAACACUUGGAAACAGGUGCUAAUACCGUAUAACAAUCGAAACCGCAUGGUUUUGAUUUGAAAGGCGCUUUCGGGUGUCGCUGAUGGAUGGACCCGCGGUGCAUCAGCUAGUUGGUGAGGUAACGGCUCACCAAGGCGACGAUGCAUAGCCGACCUGAGAGGGUGAUCGGCCACAUUGGGAUUGAGACACGGCCCAAACUCCUACGGGAGGCAGCAGUAGGGAAUCUUCGGCAAUGGACGAAAGUCUGACCGAGCAACGCCGCGUGAGUGAAGAAGGUUUUCGGAUCGUAAAACUCUGUUGUUAGAGAAGAACAAGGAUGAGAGUAACUGUUCAUCCCUUGACGGUAUCUAACCAGAAAGCCACGGCUAACUACGUGCCAGCAGCCGCGGUAAUACGUAGGUGGCCAGCGUUGUCCGGAUUUAUUGGGCGUAAAGCGAGCGCAGGCGGUUUCUUAAGUCUGAUGUGAAAGCCCCCGGCUCAACCGGGGAGGGUCAUUGGAAACUGGGAGACUUGAGUGCAGAAGAGGAGAGUGGAAUUCCAUGUGUAGCGGUGAAAUGCGUAGAUAUAUGGAGGAACACCAGUGGCGAAGGCGGCUCUCUGGUCUGUAACUGACGCUGAGGCUCGAAAGCGUGGGGAGCAAACAGGAUUAGAUACCCUGGUAGUCCACGCCGUAAACGAUGAGUGCUAAGUGUUGGAGGGUUUCCGCCCUUCAGUGCUGCAGCUAACGCAUAAGCACUCCCGGCCUGGGAGUGCCCCCCCC